rnacentral:rRNA from 1 species
UGCGUAGGGUGCAAGCGUUGUCCGGAAUUAUUGGGCGUAAAGAGCUCGUAGGCGGUCUGUCGCGUCGGCUGUGAAAACCCGGAGCUCAACUCCGGGCCUGCAGUCGAUACGGGCAAACUGGAGUGUUGCAGGGGAGACUGGAAUUCCUGGUGUAGCGGUGAAAUGCGCAGAUAUCAGGAGGAACACCGGUGGCGAAGGCGGGUCUCUGGGCAACAACUGACGCUGAGGAGCGAAAGCGUGGGGAGCGAACAGG